rnacentral:rRNA from 1 species
GAUGAACGCUAGCGGGAGGCCUAACACAUGCAAGCCGAGCGGUAUUGUUUCUUCGGAAAUGAGAGAGCGGCGUACGGGUGCGUAACACGUGUGCAACCUGCCUUUAUCUGGGGGAUAGCCUUUCGAAAGGAAGAUUAAUACUCCAUAAUAUAUUGAACGGCAUCGUUUAAUAUUGAAAGCUCCGGCGGAUAGAGAUGGGCACGCGCAAGAUUAACUAGUUGGUGAGGUAACGGCUCACCAAGGCGAUGAUCUUUAGGGGGCCUGAGAGGGUGAUCCCCCACACUGGUACUGAGACACGGACCAGACUCCUACGGGAGGCAGCAGUGAGGAAUAUUGGUCAAUGGGUGCAAGCUUGAACCAGCCAUCCCGCGUGAAGGACGACUGCCCUAUGGGUUGUAAACUUCUUUUGUAUAGGGAUAAACCUACCCUCGUGGGGGUAGCUGAAGGUACUAUACGAAUAAGCACCGGCUAACUCCGUGCCAGCCGCCGCCGUAA